rnacentral:rRNA from 1 species
UACGGAGGGUGCGAACGUUGCUCGGAAUCAUUGGGCGUAAAGCGCACGUAGGCGGCGAAGAAAGUUGGGUGUGAAAGCCCUGGGCUCAACCCAGGAAGUGCAUUCAAAACUACUUUGCUUGAAUCUCGGAGGGGGUCAGAGAAUUCCCGGUGUAGAGGUGAAAUUCGUAGAUAUCGGGAGGAAUACCAGUGGCGAAAGGCGCUGACCUGGACGAAGAUUGACGCUGAGGUGCGAAAGCGUGGGGAGCAAACAGGAU